UCUUAUGCGAUAGAUAUAUAUUUAAAACACUACCAACUUUCAUUCUCUAUUUUAUUUCCUCACUUAGUAUACAUAUUUCGAUCAAAUUGGAAAGCUUGUGCUAUUACAGUAGGGCACAUAACAUCUUCGAAUCACAAGUACUGUUCAUUAGAGUGAUUGGGCAUAUUUGGAGCACAAGGUAGGUACUUCCAAUGCAUUUUUAUGCCUCUGAACAUUUAAUCACAAAUUUUUUCCUUCUCACCCAUAAUCAAUAAAUUUGCUCAA